GCCAAUUACUGAGUUAAGCCCAGUCAUAUUUCUGUGGUCUUCCUAUGAGAGAUUUAUUUUUUUUCCUCACAAGUGCUAGACCAGCUAGCAUUAUGUCUGCUUCAAGAUCUAAGCCCUGUUUUCGGCUGCACAGACCAGCAGAAAUUGCUAUACUGCCCACCAGCCUCAGAGGACAGAGGACCUGUAAUAGCAGAGUCCAGCUACAGUCAGCAGUAACUAGCAUGCUACGUGUGUGUGUGUGUGUGUGUGUGCUAACCCUGUUUGUGUGUAACUGCUUUCCAACCUGGAUAUGUACAACACAGGCAGCGAAACUAACUGAAGAACCAAUUAUAUUUCACUAAUGAAUGUCUGGCAAAACUGCAGACAAGAAACAUUUAAGGAAAACAGAGAGGGAACGAGUGAAAUGAACAAAAUCAAUAUUCACAGGCUGUUACCUCACAGAUGGAAAGAUGUUACCAGAGCUUGCAUGGUCUCCAGUGGUAGAUUAAACCCACUGAGGCUCAACAGGACUAAAUAUCAAAGUAGGAUUUGUUCACAAGAGGAGGUGUGGUAAGAUAAAGACAAUAGCUUCAACAAAACUAACCAGUCAGCUUCCUGUUUACGAUGCAAGUGGACGAGGGUCAACAGUAUUGUGGACACACGUCAGUUAAAUGUGGAGCUUCAAAAGUCACGCUCUUCUUGAUUCCCGUGGCAAUGCUGCUAUCAUCUGCAGGCAUGGACCAGUCCCCAUCAAUCGGCUUUGUCCUGCUUGACUUAUCCAAACACGGUGGUGGAAACCUCUUCUUCUUGCCAUCCCUGGUGACAGCUGGGCAAACAUUGACCCAUCUUUCCGCCCUUUUCCCUGUGACCCGGCUGCCGUCCACACUGGGCCCGAUGUGUCUGCGGUUGGGCUGCUGGGAUCCCAGACGCGUAAGACUUACUGCAAACAGGAGGGUCAAACACAGAUCCUACAGAGGGGUCAAGGAUAUGGUUGGUGAAAAUGUAUGGCUAUGUAAAAGAGUGGAAACUGAGCAAGCAGCACAGAGAAAAAGGAGGAACGAAAGAAUGGGAACAAAAGUGUGCAUAGAAAAUGAGAGUCUGUGAAAUGGAAGCAGGUGAAACUGAUAAAAGAGAAAUUGAAAGUGAAGAAAAUGAAGAUGGUUUAUAGAGAUGGACUCUCUGUCUGUUGCAAUUUUAAUUUAAAUGCUGGAUUGAUCUUACAAUACAAAUUAUAUUACUUCCUGAGCAAAUAUGUGUAGAAGAAAACCGAAUACGAAGAUAUUGGCAUUGCAUUUUAACGUGCAAUAAGUCCUACACGUUAUUAGUCAACAAUUAGAUCAGGUGAGAUCCUGCUUGGUUGAAAUGAAAACUUGCAGCAGCAUUGUCCCUCUGUAAAUAAGAUUUCUUGGAUGGUUUAUUAAAUGAAAUGUUGAACCCCAGUGCCAAUAACUUUCUUAUUAACUUUUCAUCUGCACACAUUUGCUGCGGCACUAAUGUAAUUUGUAAUGUACAGCUAGGUUUCCACUAUAGUGUUAGUGCUUUUUGAUUCUGACCUACAUCUUGUAUAGUAUUGUUACUCAAUUUGGCUUCUUUUGGCUUGGGAAACAUUGCUCUAAGAGAACUUUCAAAAUAUCAGAAUCGCUUUAGAACUACAUAACAUUUUAUUACUAUGAACAGUUUGUAUAAAGACAUAGUGAUGUGCACAAUACAUGAGCCAUCAAGACUCAAACACUAUGCAGUCUUUUACCUAUAGAAACUCAUAGGAGUGGAACUUAAAAAAAAUGGCUGUUGACUUCAGAAUAGGUGGCCACCAGUGAGCGGCUCUGGUGAUAAGAGUACCAAGAAUUUCGUUUUUUUACAUUGCAAAGAACCUUACCUGGUGCCUCAAUUCCAGCUCCUUGGCCAGAGAUGCACAACACUGGCUCUACUACCUCCUGCAGAGAAUGAGAAAUGCAAAAUUUCCAACUUAUUGUGCUCUACAGAGACUGUAGAGAGCAUCUUUAGCAGCUUCAUCUUUGGUUGGUUUUGGAUAGUAGAUAGUAAGGAAAGGUGAGAACAGUUGUUUUUACUGUUAUACUAAAUCUCAUUUUGUCCAGUGAUGAUC
rnacentral:lncRNA from 1 species